GUUGUUUUUGGAUGGGGCUUCCUGUGCCAUUCUGCAAGAACCAUCUUCCAAGAAAGGACACUCCGGUUAUUCUUGAAAGUGAGACUGGAGAAGAGUUUGAAAUAAAGUACAUUGCUGAAAAGACCGGACUUAGUGCAGGAUGGAGAAAGUAUGCUGCUGCUCACAAGUUGGUUGAGGGAGAUGUUUUAGUUUUUCAACUUGUCGAGCCUACUAGAUUCAAGGUGUAUGUAAUAAGAGCAAAUGAUCUAAAGGAGGUGGAUGGCGCUCUUAGCCUUCUAAAUUUGGAUGCACCCGCCAAGCAAAGUGAUGCAGAGGGAGCUAUUGGUAAUAAUAUAAAGAAGCGUCAAAAGAAGUCUCUUCCCUUAACUGUUGUGCAAAAGAGGAGACGAAAGGAGGACCUGAGUAAACAACUUGUGCCAUUGGAGGCACAGUCGGGAAAUGAUAGUGAUGAGGUUGCUUCAGAAAUUUUAGAGGGCUCAAGGUCCUCCGGUCUUGCUGUUAAUUUUAGAGACAUUAAGAGCCUUGAGGAGUUCCAAAUUCUGGUGAAUGGAGUAUGCAUAGACUCUGAACUUCCUGAACAUAUAAGGAGAAAGUACUAUGAGUUAUGCUGCAGUAAAAAUGCUUUUCUUCACGAUCGUCUUUUACAAGGUCUUCAUUGUAAGUUGGUUGCUGGUAUGAUUUUUGAAGUCGUCAACAUUGCCGAUAUGGUAAGAGCCUGCAAGCUCAGCACCCCACGGAAGGAAUUUGAUAAAUGGGAGAAGUCACUGAAAUCUUUUGAACUUCUGGGCAUGAAUGUUGGAUUUUUGAGGACUCGUCUGCGCUGGUUGCUGAGUCUUGCAUUCGACUCUGAAGGUGCUUCGGACACCAAGAGGUACUGGGACGCUAAAAAGGAAUGGUCUCGAGCUGAAGAUGAGAUACGGAAUCUUGAAAUGAAACUUGAGGAACUGAAACAAGCUUCUGGAAAAUAUGUUGCUGAUGUUGAGGCUCUGAAAUCAAAAGCUGAGAGUUAUGAGCUUAUGUUUCAAGGAGAAGUCAAUGCUCCAUGGUAAUCUUAUCUAUAUUAUAUGAUGUAUGCAGCAAAUCAGAGGGAACGGUACAAAGGGAGAAUGUUGUUAGUAUAUCUUAUUAGUUUGUACUUGGUAGUAAUAUCAAGCUAGGAAGACAUGAUAAUUUUACUUUUUUCGAUUGCUAAAUUCUGCUGCUAUUGUUAUUUAAGCCUAAAAACCUAGCUAAAAAAUUCAAGGGCUGGUGUCUCGUGUGUACAAGUAGUCUAUAUUCUAAGUCACUGUUUCAAAA
rnacentral:misc_RNA from 1 species